UACGUAGGGGGCAAGCGUUGUCCGGAAUCAUUGGGCGUAAAGCGCGUGUAGGCGGUCCGAUAAGUUCGCUGUGAAAGUCGGGGGCUUAACCCUCGGAUGCCGGUGAAUACUGCCGGGCUUGAGUGUGGGAGAGGUGAGUGGAAUUCCUGGUGUAGCGGUGAAAUGCGUAGAUAUCAGGAGGAACACCUGUGGCGAAAGCGGCUCACUGGACCAUAACUGACGCUGAUGCACGAAAGCUAGGGGAGCAAACAGG
rnacentral:rRNA from 1 species